rnacentral:lncRNA from 1 species
GCUGUGGGGGUUGACUGGCAGCUGUUGCCCAAAGACUCGUCAAUCAAAGGACGCUUUCGCCCCGGACUCCCCCAGGUCUUGAGCAUAGUCUCAGCUACGGAGAUAUUUGGGCUGGAAGCUUCAAGGGCCUCUGAGAUCUCAUCCAGCAAUCGCGGCAUUCUGUCUAAGCACUAUGGUGUUCGGCAUGAGGGUUAUCAGGGAAGAUGCUCCUCACGGUCCCGCGCCUCCUGGGGAAGANAAUUGAGCGCCGAGAGCACGAGCGCUGGGUUCGGUGGUGCCGGAGCCGCGGCAGCCUCUGCGACGAAUGCAGCGGGAUGCCUGCUGGGCCGACUGCCGCCCCGGCCCGGAGCCCUGGGUUCACUUCGCAGCCUGCUGCAGAGUUUCAGACCGCAGUACUCAGCAUCCACCGGGCUUUGCCCCCUUGCCGAAGUCUGCAGAUCGAUAGAUGCUGGGCGUAGGCUUUUCCCUAGGCUAAAGCCCCAAAGCUCCCACCUUCACCUUCUGUUUAUUUGCCCGCUCCCACCACUACCAUCGAAGUACGUGCCCCUCUGGUAGUGUUGGCGCUGAAACCCGAGCAAGGGAAAGGGCGCCUCCCCAUCCCCUCCUCCCCAUCCCCGCCGCGACUCGGGGUUUUACUGCGGCAGCCGGAGGUGACAGCUACGCCUGAGCCUCCUCCGUUGCUCUCAGAGCCCCGGCUUCCCCAGCCUCCGGAAAGCGCCUCCUUCUGAGAGGCUGGCCCUAGAGAAGUGCUAACGUGCUGCAGGAAACCAAAUUUAAAAAUGUAGAAGUCGCUGGGCUGCAUUCCUCCGAGGACGAGCCUGAUCGCCCAGGACCGAGAGUGGCAGCGUGUGGGAAGUUGGGACCGUAGGCAAGGGGGGAGGGGAGUGGUGCAGCCGGCAUUCCCUCUGAAAGGAGUCGCUGGGAGCAGCGACCGGUUGGACACAAGUUUGCCUGGGAGUGUUUUCCUUUCGUCAAUAAUUAAUCACCGGAAUCAGGCUGACAGAAUUGGAGUUUUAGCAAUAGUGCAGAGGGCGGGGCCGAACACCUAACUCCCGGAGCUUUGAGGUGCCCAGCGCAGUAGGAAGCUCGCAGCAGUUGGGGAGGAGCCAAAGCGCUGGCGCUCACCUAAGCCGCAGGAGAUAUACCCAACCCAACCGGGAGGUAAGCAUCUUCCAAAUACAUGCUUGAACGGUAACGUAGCUUUUAAAGGAUAGAAUUCCUGUCUUUAGAAGGAAUAAUAAUACCGAGCCAUAAAGCAAUGUACCAGCUUAUUAUUUAACUGCACUAAAAAUUUUAAGAAUUGAAUGGGUUUUUCCAUUUGCCUUUAACUAUGUUAGAAACUAAGAUGUUUCAGUCAACAGAAGCCAAACUUUACUACUGAAACUUUCCCAGCCAAAAGAAGAGAAAAUUACUUUGUUAAUUACUUUUGUUUUUUAUCUUUGUAUAAUGCAGUAACACUAUUCAGAGAAAUGUCAUUGGGUGUUGCUUGAUUUCAUUCUUAAAUAUUUUGUUCAUCUUGUUUUAUGUUUUUAUACAAUACUUUUUGCCCAUAAGCUAAUUGAGGCAAUAAUACACACAAGUCAAUUGCCCCCAAAGUAAAGAAUUUCCAACAAGGGAUACAUUUUAACAUUUUAUCAUGAUUAU